rnacentral:lncRNA from 1 species
GUUUUCCACAAAAGGAGAUUCAUAGCAAUUAAUCAGGAGCCCACUUUACCUACGCCAGUAAGAAAAGGAAGUCCCCUCUAUUAUAAUCUUCUAAUGAAAGUAACUUUGAGAAUCUUACCAUGGCGCUGGACAUGGUGGUGGUGCACACCUAUAAUCCCAGCACUCAGGAGGCUGAAGCAGGAGGAUGACUGUGAGUUUGAGGCCACCCUGGGGUACAUGGUGAGUUCAGGGACAGCCAGAACUACAUAGUAAGACCCUGUGUCAAACAGGAGAAUCUUAAUAUAAGUUAACAAAAAUGUUGACAGCAUUAGUUAACUAAAC